GACGAACCGUGCGAACGUUGUUCGGAAUCACUGGGCUUAAAGGGCGCGUAGGCGGUUGAUCAAGUCUGGGGUGAAAUCUUUCGGCUUAACCGGAAAAGUGCCUUGGAUACUGGUCAGCUGGAGGGAGGUAGGGGCAGUUGGAACUUCCAGUGGAGCGGUGAAAUGCAUUGAUAUUGGAAGGAACGCCGGUGGCGAAAGCGAGCUGCUGGACCUCUUCUGACGCUGAUGCGCGAAAGCUAGGGGAGCAAACGGG
rnacentral:rRNA from 1 species